AUGGAAACCACGAGGCUAUCCUUGCUCUCUCUUCUUCCUUUCCUUCUCCUCGCGAUCGCUGCCGAGGCAACCGGCGGCGAGCUCAGCACGUACAUCGUCCACGUGCAAGCGGAGGAGAACCGCGUGUUUGGCACCCCGGACGACCGGAAGACGUGGUACCACUCGUUCCUCCCGGAACAUGGCCGGCUCGUGCACGCGUACCACCACGUCGCGAGCGGGUUCGCGGCCCGGCUGACGCGGCCGGAGCUGGAGGCGGUGUCCGCCAUGCCCGGGUUCCUCAGCGCGACCCGCGCCCGGACGUACACCACGCUCACGACGCACACGCCCGAGUUCCUCGGGCUGAACCUGGAGCAGGGGCGGCGGAACUACACGUCGGAGUUCGGCGCCGGGGUCAUCGUAGGCGUGAUCGACAGCGGCAUCUUCCCCGACCACCCGUCGUUCAGCGACGAUGGCAUGCCGCCGCCACCGGCCAAGUGGAAGGGGCGCUGCGACUUCAACCGCACCUCGUGCAACAACAAGCUCAUCGGCGCGCGCAACUUCGUCUCCACCCUCAACGACCCGAACGGCACUUCCGCGCGGGUGCCGCCGAUCGAUGACUUUGGGCACGGCACUCACACCGCGAGCACCGCGGCGGGAGCGGUAGUGCCGGGCGCUAACGUGCUUGGCCACGCGUUGGGCACCGCCGCCGGGAUGGCGGCCCGCGCGCACAUCGCCAUGUACAAGGUGUGCGACCUGAACGGAGGGUGCAAGACGUCCGACAUGCUGGCCGGUGUCGACGCGGCCGUGGGCGACGGCUGCGACGUCAUUUCCAUGUCUCUCGCCGGGCCGUCCGUGGCCUUUCACCUAGAUCCUAUGGCCAUCGGGACGUUCGGCGCCAUAGAGAAGGGCAUUUUUGUGAGCAUGGCUGCUGGCAACUCCGGCCCGGGAGAGAGCUCCGUGAAAAACGAGGCUCCGUGGAUGCUCACCGUUGGCGCGAGUACCAUGGACCGCUCCAUCCGUUCGAUCGUGCAGCUGGGGAAUGGCGCGUAUUUCCAGGGCGAGUCACUCUACCAGCCAAACGCCGGUGUGCACGGUGCCUUCUACCCGUUGGUGUCCGCCGGCGCGAGCGGGAAGCCACUCGCCGAGUUCUGUGGGAACGGCUCGCUGGACGGCUUCGACGUCAAGGGCAAGAUAGUGCUCUGUGAACUCACGAGAAAUAUCACGGCGAUGAACCAAGGUCAGGUAGUGCUGAGUGCUGGCGGCCUCGGCAUGAUCUUGGCCAACCAGUUUGCCCAAGGCUACGACACGUUAGCCGACGAGAACGUCCUGCCGUCGUCGAGCGUCGACUACCUCGCGAGCGCAGCCAUCAAAUUGUAUCUCAGCUCAACGGCGAACCCGGUGGCGCAUAUCGGCUUCAGGGGUACAGUACUCGGCACGUCACCUGCUCCGUCGAUCGUUUACUUCUCAUCUCGUGGGCCUAGCCGUCAGGGCACCGGCGUUCUGAAGCCCGACAUCACGGGCCCCGGGGUGAACGUGCUCGCCGCAUGGCCGUUUCAGAUCGGGCCACCGUCAGCACCAGUUCUUCCCGGACCGACCUUCAACAUCAUCUCCGGCACGUCCAUGUCGACACCGCACCUCGCCGGCAUUGCGGCGCUGAUCAAGAGCAAGCACCCGGACUGGUCGCCGGCGGCGAUCAAGUCGGCCAUGAUGACGACGGCUGACAUCACCGACCGCUCCGGCAAUCCCAUACUCAAUGAGCAGCGCGUGGUGGCCAACCUCUUCGCCACCGGCGCCGGACAUCACCCCCGAGGAUUACAUCGGCUACCUCUGCAGCAUGUACACGAGCCAGCAAGUGUCGGUGAUCGCGCGCCGGCCGAUCGACUGCUUGACCACCGUCGUGAUCAGUGA
rnacentral:rRNA from 1 species